UCCCCAGUAGCUCAGAUAGUAAAGAAUCUGCCUGCAAUGCAGGAGAUCCGGGUUCAAUCCCUGGGUUGGGAA
rnacentral:tRNA from 1 species